GAGGUGAUGCGGAGUGACUGUCAGAUGCAGCCAGCAGAAUAGGUGGUUGUGGCUGAACUGUUGUACUUAUCCUUCCCC
rnacentral:miRNA from 10 species